GACGAACCGUGCGAACGUUGUUCGGAAUCACUGGGCUUAAAGGGCGCGUAGGCGGGUCGGCAAGUCAGGGGUGAAAUCCCGCGGCUCAACCGCGGAAGCGCCUUUGAUACUGCCGGUCUCGAGGGAGGCAGGGGAGUGCGGAACUUCCGGUGGAGCGGUGAAAUGCGUAGAUAUCAGGAAGAACACCCGUGGCGAAGGCGGCUCUCUGGGACGGUACUGACGCUGAGACGCGAAAGCGUGGGGAGCGAACAGG
rnacentral:rRNA from 1 species